rnacentral:rRNA from 1 species
AUAAGCGGAAGAAAUUCCGUCUAAUACCGCGUAAUAACUCCGAGAGGCAUCUCCUGGGGUUUAAAGGGUAACACCGGCUACGGAUGGCCAUGCGGCGCAUUAGCUAGUUGGCGGGGUAACGGCCCACCAAGGCGACGAUGCGUAGGGGUUCUGAGAGGAAGGUCCCCCACACUGGUACUGAGACACGGACCAGACUCCUACGGGAGGCAGCAGUGAGGAAUAUUGGUCAAUGGGCGCGAGCCUGAACCAGCCAAGUCGCGUGAGGGAAGACGGUCCUAUGGAUUGUAAACCUCUUUUGUCGGGGAGCAAAAGACGCCACGCGUGGCGUUCCGAGAGUACCCGAAGAAAAAGCAUCGGCUAACUCCGUGCCAGCAGCCGCGGUAAUACGGAGGAUGCGAGCGUUAUCCGGAUUUAUUGGGUUUAAAGGGUGCGCAGGCGGAAGAUCAAGUCAGCGGUAAAAUUGAGAGGCUCAACCUCUUCGAGCCGUUGAAACUGGUUUUCUUGAGUGAGCGAGAAGUAUGCGGAAUGCGUGGUGUAGCGGUGAAAUGCAUAGAUAUCACGCAGAACUCCGAUUGCGAAGGCAGCAUACCGGCGCUCAACUGACGCUCAUGCACGAAAGUGUGGGUAUCGAACAGGAUUAGAUACCCUGGUAGUCCACACAGUAAACGAUGAAUACUAAUUGUUCGGGGAGAAUGAUCCCUGAGUG